rnacentral:rRNA from 1 species
UGGGGAAUCUUCCGCAAUGGACGAAAGUCUGACGGAGCAACGCCGCGUGUAUGAUGAAGGUCUUCGGAUUGUAAAGUACUGUCAUUGGGGAAGAACGGUUUUCUUGAAAAGAUUGAGAAGACAUGACGGUACCCAAGGAGGAAGCCCCGGCUAACUACGUGCCAGCAGCCGCGGUAAUACGUAGGGGGCAAGCGUUGUCCGGAAUUAUUGGGCGUAAAGGGCGCGUAGGCGGGCCUUUAAGUCCGGUGUGAAAGAUCAGGGCUCAACCCUGAGAGUGCAUCGGAAACUGGAGGCCUUGAGGACAGGAGAGGAAAGUGGAAUUCCACGUGUAGCGGUGAAAUGCGUAGAUAUGUGGAGGAACACCAGUGGCGAAGGCGACUUUCUGGACUGUAACUGACGCUGAGGCGCGAAAGCGUGGGGAGCAAACAGGAUUAGAUACCCUGGUAGUCCACGCCGUAAACGAUGAGUGCUAGGUGUAGAGGGUAUCGACCCCUUCUGUGCCGCAGUUAACACAAUAAGCACUCCGCCUGGGGAGUACGGCCGCAAGGUUGAAACUUAAAUGAAUUGACGGGGUCAUAGCUG